rnacentral:rRNA from 1 species
GCGUCGAAGCAGUCUAUGUCAUACUUCCAAGAAAAGCUUGCACUGUCAUAAACAAAUAAUGCCUGUACCAUAACCGACACAGGUGGGUAGGUAGAGUAUACUAAGGGGCGCGAGAUAACUCUCUCUAAGGAACUCGGCAAAAUGACUCCGUAACUUCGGGAGAAGGAGUGCCUUAUUUAUAAGGUUGCAAUAACAAGAUCCAAGCAACUGUUUACCAAAAACACAGGUCUCCGCUAAGUCGUAAGACGAUGUAUGGGGGCUGACGCCUGCCCAGUGCCAGAAGGUUAAAGAAGUUGGUUAGCAUCCGCGAAGCUGAUAACUGAAGCCCUGGUGAACGGCGGCCGUAACAAUAACGGUCCUAAGGUAGCGAAAUUCCUUGUCGGGUAAGUUCCGACCCGCACGAAAGGCGUAAUGAUUUGGAUACUGUCUCGGAGAGGGGCUCGGUGAAAUAGACUUGUCUGUGAAGAUGCGGACUACCUGCACCAGGACAGAAAGACCCUAUGAAGCUUUACUGUAACCUGAAAUUGAAAUUGGACUUUACUUGCGCAGUAUAGGUGGGAGGCGUUGAGAAUAUUCUUGCGGGAUUAUUGGAGCCAUCAGUGAGAUACCACUCUUGUAAUGUUAGAUUUCUAACUUUGUAUCAUUAUCUGGUCAAAGAACAGUUUCAGGCGGGCAGUUUGACUGGGGCGGUCGCCUCCUAAACGGUAACGGAGGCGCACAAAGGUUUCCUCUGAACGGGUAGAAAUCGUAUCUAGAGUGUAAAGGCAUAAGGAAGCUUGACUGUGAGACCUACAAGUCGAGCAGGGACGAAAGUCGGUCUUAGUGAUCUGACGGUGCUGAGUGGAAAGGCCGUCACUCAACGGAUAAAAGUUACUCUAGGAUAACAGGCUGAUCUCCCCCAAGAGUUCACAUCGACGGGGAGGUUUGGCACCUCGAUGUCGGCUCAUCGCAUCCUGGGGCGGUAGUACGUCCCAAGGGUUGGGCUGUUCGCCCAUGAAAGCGGUACGCGAGCUGGGUUCAGAACGUCGUGAGACAGUUCGGUCCAUAUCCGGUGUAGGCGUUAGAAUAUUGAGAGGAGCCUUCUUUAGUACGAGAGGACCGAGAAGGACAUACCUCUGGUGUACCAGUUAUCGUGCCAACGGUAAACGCUGGGUAGCUAUGUGUGGAGUGGAUAACCGCUGAAAGCAUCUAAGUGGGAAGCCCACCUCAAGAUAAGUAUUCC